CUGCUGUUAUGGUAGUCUGCCGAUGUACUUUUAAACCCAUUACACUAAUACUGAACUAUACUCCAAAAACGAAAGUAUUUGGUUUUAAUCAAUAACAACUUUCAGCAGGGGAUGUCUAGGCUCGCACAUCGAUGAAAAACGCUGCGAACUGCGAUACGUAAUGCGAAUUGCAAAAUUCAGUGAGACAUCGAAAUUUUGAACGCACAUUGCACUUUCGGGUUAUGCCUGGAAGUAUGCCUGUAUCAGUGUCCGUACAUCAAACUUGCCUUUCUUUUUUUGUGUAGUCAAGAAAAGAGAUGGCAAACUGUGAGGUGUCUCGCUAACUCCCUCCUCGGAGGAGAAGACGCGAGUCCCUUUAAAUGUACGUUCGCUCUUUCUUGUGUUUAAAAUGAAGUGUGACUUUCGAACGCAGUGAUCUGUUUGGAUCGCUUUGCUCGAGUGGGCAACUUCGGUUAGAACAUUAAAGGAAAGCAACCUUCUAUUGGCCGGUAUGUUAGGCUUUCGGCCCGACUUUGCAGCUGACGGUGUGUUGUUUUCUGUUCUUUCCUUGAGGUGUACCUGUCUUGUGUGAGGCAAUGGUCUGGGCAAAUGGUUGUUGUGUAGUAGGAGGUUGUUGCUCUUAGUCGCUCUUCGGAGUAAAGAAG
rnacentral:misc_RNA from 1 species